rnacentral:lncRNA from 12 species
GGAAAGCACGGUAAGCGUUGACUUUGGAGUUGAGAUCUGCUUUUGUGUUCUCUCUUAACUACUUACCAGCUCUCCUUGUUCUAUGAGAAUAUCAGAGGCCAUGGCUAGGGUGGAGGCCUCUCUGUCCCUUCUGAGCAGCAGUGAGCUACCUGCAGAAGUCUCUGAUCCCAGGUUCGGACCCAAGCUUCCUACACCAGACCAGGUUGGACUCAUGUGGCUAGUUCUGCUCAAUGUGUUACCAGCAGAGUACUAGUUCUCUCUGCAGGCCUUGCUGUGGUUGCUGUGAAAAAAAGCCUUGAGUUGACACGGUCAAAGAUGGAAAGAGUCUGGACUGCCAGGUUGGUAUGUGGUGGAUAAAUCUCUGUGGAGCGGAGCCACUGAGAUUGGGGGCAUAUUAGUUAUAGCAGCCUAACCAAGCUUGUUGUUUAUCAUGUACGGGUAACUCAGUGGUGCAUCCCCUGAGGAAUAGGGUCUGAAUUUGUUUCUGAGUCCUCUGGAACCUUUUAUGGACACUUCUGACAAAGGAGCAAAUCACAGAUUAUAGCAUGAGUCUGCCCAACUAAGAAAGAAGACAAAUCAAUUAUAUUUCACAUUUAAUUUUGGUUAAAUUAUGUGAUCAGUCAAAGAAACAAAAUCACAAUUACAAAUAGUUUUACUAAUAAAAGUGUAUCACACUGGACA